rnacentral:rRNA from 1 species
CACGUAGGGGGCGAGCGUUGUCCGGAUUUAUUGGGCGUAAAGAGCUCGUAGGCGGUUCGGCAAGUCGGGUGUGAAAUUUCGAGGCUCAACCUCGAAACGCCACUCGAUACUGCUGUGACUGGAGUCCGGUAGAGGAGUGCGGAAUUCCUGGUGUAGCGGUGAAAUGCGCAGAUAUCAGGAGGAACACCAACGGCGAAGGCGGCAUCCUGGACCAAUUCUGACGCUGAGGAGCGAAAGCCAGGGGAGCAAACGGG